UUGGAUAAGGCUGUGCUUUAUUACAUGCAUAAUUACAAAUCUGUGCUAAGUGAAAAAUGUAUAAAGCAAUGGCGACCUGGGUUUAAGCCACACAGAGAAAGGGCUGGACAAUCCCAUUAACCCUUCUGCCAAAGUCCAUUCCAUUGCCUGUAACAUGAUUGUUUCCAUUUUCCUAUGGAAACUCAGGCUCUAUUAGCUUUGGUUGAUUCUAGGGUCUAGACACCUAAGCUACUGCUGAUGUCUAUAAUGUGUAUUUAGCU
rnacentral:lncRNA from 1 species